GACGAACGCUGGCGGCGUGCUUAACACAUGCCAGUCGAACGGUGAACCCCUUCGUAGGGGGUCAGUUGCGAACGGGUGCGUAACACGUGGACAACCUGCCCCCGCCCCUGAGAUAACUCCAAGAAAUUGGGACUAAUACCGGAUGUUCACCGCUUCCCCCAUGGGUGGGGGUGAGAAGGGUUUGCGGGUGGGGAUGGGCCCGCGGCGUAUCAGCUCGUUGGUGGGGUAGUGGCCUACCAAGGCGACGACGGGUAGCCGGCCUGAGAGGGUGACCGGCCACACUGGGACUGAGAUACGGCCCAGACUCCUACGGGAGGCAGCAGUGGGGAAUAUUGCGCAAUGGGCGGAAGCCUGACGCAGCGACGCCGCGUGGGGGAUGACGGCCUUCGGGUUGUAAACCUCUUUCGGCAGGGACGAAGCGUAAGUGACGGUAACUGGAGAAGAAGCACCGGCUAACUACGUG
rnacentral:rRNA from 1 species